GGGGUGCCAAUAAAAAACAUACACAAAAUCAUUCAUGAUGCUUCAAGGCGGCAAGCAAACGCAGCCAACGCAGAGGCAGCGUGAAGGAUGAAGUGUAUGAGGCUGAGAGAUACCCGUCGAACCUGAUCCGGAUAAUGCCGGCGAAGGGAUUUGAGGC
rnacentral:ncRNA from 1 species